rnacentral:lncRNA from 1 species
AUGGACUUGCCAUCAGUUGCUAUCAAUCAGCAGCAACAGAUAAAAGAAGAAAGCCAACAAAGGCAGGACAUUGCCCCGCCCCCACCGGAAAGCUGAUUUCUCUCCCAGGGACAACAAAGUAGAGUCGGGAAGUUUAUUCUGUUCCCUAUGUAAUGCUUCCAUCACAGCUCAAGAGAAGAGAUAACUACACAGUCAGAGUGAUAACAAAACAAAACCUUAGAGGGAAGGAUGAAACAAGGAGGCCAUGAAACCCAAGGGCAGCGCCAACAAAGAGGAAUAGGAAGGGGUGUCCUAGAAAACCAGCAAGCCCAGUUAUGUGGACCAAGACAACUGGAAAUGCCUUGUCAACAUGACUAGCUACCAGGACACAUCAUGACAGUGACGUCAAAGCAACAGGAGCUUGAAGCAGGGAAGUCACAUCUCCAUCACAUUUGGAAAAUGGGUAUAUAAAUAGCAAAUGACUGUUGAGGUCAUCGGUGGAGGUGCCUGCAAUCUGAACAGGGAAUUCUCGGACCACUUUCCAGAGACAUCAGCCAUGCUGGUGUGGGCCGUUCCAUGAUAUAGCUACCCAGGAGUCAUGCAUAUUCAAUGGAUGGAACGUCUUCCACAUGUGCCUGCAG